rnacentral:rRNA from 1 species
AUUGAACGCUGGCGGCAUGCUUUACACAUGCAAGUCGAACGGCAGUGCGGGCUUCGGCCUGGCGGCGAGUGGCGAACGGGUGAGUAAUGCAUCGGAACGUGCCCAGUAGUGGGGGAUAGCCCGGCGAAAGCCGGAUUAAUACCGCAUACGACCUGAGGGUGAAAGCGGGGGACCGAAAGGCCUCGCGCUAUUGGAGCGGCCGAUGUCGGAUUAGCUAGUUGGUGGGGUAAAGGCUUACCAAGGCGACGAUCCGUAGCUGGUCUGAGAGGACGACCAGCCACACUGGGACUGAGACACGGCCCAGACUCCUACGGGAGGCAGCAGUGGGGAAUUUUGGACAAUGGGGGCAACCCUGAUCCAGCCAUGCCGCGUGCGGGAAGAAGGCCUUCGGGUUGUAAACCGCUUUUGCUCGGGAAGAAAUCCUCUGGGCUAAUACCCCGGGGGGAUGACGGUACCGGAAGAAUAAGCACCGGCUAACUACGUG